rnacentral:rRNA from 1 species
AAGGUGGGGAUGACGUCAAGUCCUCAUGGCCUUUAUGCUUAGGGCUACACACGUGCUACAAUGGGUGGUACAACGAGUUGCGAGUCGGUGACGGCGAGCUAAUCUCUUAAAGCCAAUCUCAGUUCGGAUUGUAGGCUGCAACUCGCCUACAUGAAGUCGGAAUCGCUAGUAAUCGCGGAUCAGCACGCCGCGGUGAAUACGUUCCCGGGCCUU